GACGGAGGGUGCAAACGUUGUUCGGAAUCACUGGGCAUAAAGCGCACGUAGGCGGUCCGCUAAGUCAGUUGUGAAAUCCCUCGGCUCAACCGAGGAGCUGCACCUGAUACUGGCGGGCUCGAGAACGGUAGGGGUGAGUGGAACUCCAGGUGGAGCGGUGAAAUGCGUAGAUAUCUGGAGGAACACCGGUGGCGAAGGCGGCUCACUGGACCGUAUCUGACGCUGAGGUGCGAAAGCUAGGGUAGCAAACGGGAUUAGAUACCCCGGUAGUCCUAGCCGUAAACGAUGGGUACUAGGCAAUGGGAAUACCUAUGUUUCUCAUUGCCGGAGCAAAUGUAUUAAGUACCCCGCCUGGGGAGUACGCUCGCAAGGGUGAA
rnacentral:rRNA from 1 species